rnacentral:rRNA from 1 species
AUUGAACGCUGGCGGCAGGCCUAACACAUGCAAGUCGAGCGGAGAGGUGGACGGGUGAGUAAUGCCUAGGACUCUGCCUGGUAGUGGGGGAUAACGUCAGGAAACGGGCGCUAAUCCCGCAUACUAUCGGAUAAGCCUAGGUCUGAUUAGCUAGUUGGUGGGGUAAAGUGCUACACAGACGACGUUACUUAACGGGUCUGAGAGGAUGAUCAGUCACACUGGAACUGAUACACGGUCCAGACUCCUACGGGAGGCAGCAGUGGGGAAUAUUGGACAAUGGGCGAAAGCCUGAUCCAGCCAUGCCGCGGGUGUGAAGAAGGUCUUCGGAUUGUAAAGCACUUUAAGUUGGGAGGCGUUACCAACAGAAUAAGCACCGGCUAACUUCGUGCCAGCAGCCGCGGUAAUAC